rnacentral:lncRNA from 1 species
UAAAAACAACAACUUGGUAUUUUCAUUCAAGAUCUACUAUAUUAUUUUGGCAUUUACAUGUCACAAAUUACAAUCACAACCGAACUAGAAUUUGAACAUUGGAUUGACCGCAUAAUUAUCAAAAGACAAAUCCUAAUCCUAAUUCACCUAACAGAAAAGAGGUAAUAACUGCAACUAUGUUUUUGUGGUGGGUCCUUGAUCAACUUCUAUUUCCUACUUUUACUGUGCUUCUAGAAAGAAGAAAAAAGUGAAAAGAAAAAGGAAAAAAUAAAAUAAAAAGAAGCAUAAUCACAGAAUAUUCACACAACACAAAAAACAAAUCAAAUUCAACAAUAAGCCAAUCGUUGAUUCACACGAUCUCUAAGAAUUCCAUUAUACAAAGCUGCUCUGUUUGCAGGCAUUCCUCUGUUCUCGUUUCCACCAUUACAAUUCUUUUGAACCUUUGAUCUUGAAUUCAACUUCAAAGAAUGUUUAGUAUUAUUCAUAGUACUAGUACCAUGUUGUUGUUGAUGUUGUUGUUUUCUGUACUCUUCUCCGUCUUUACAUGAAUCCACAACAUCCUUAGCAAAACUUACUCUUUUCUUCAGUUUCUUUGUUUUCUUUUCAUCUGAUAAACAAGAACGUAGAAUAGGAGUUGAAGAAGAAGAAGAAGAAACAUGGUGAAGAGAGAAUUGAGAUUUCUGAAGACGGAGAGCAAGGAUGAUGACUGUGCCGGAGACAGCCAUGGCGGUUGCAAAGACAGCACCUUGUGAGGUAAUCAUUGAAGACAUGUUUUGAAGAAAAGAAGAAAUGAAAGAAGAGAGGUUUGGUCUUUGAUGAAAAUUAAGAAAAGUGAGAAAGUGGUAUAGUCUCAUAUUAGAAGCAGCCAAACAAGAGUGAAAAUAUAUAUAUUAUAGUCCAAAUCAAAUGUGUGU